rnacentral:lncRNA from 1 species
AUGCCUGUAGGAAUAGCAGGAAAAAAAGGACUGAACCAAAACUGUUCAAAGGAGCAUAAAAUGAAGAAUCCACUCUCCUAUCCAGAAUCAAUAGAGAGGAAAAACUUGAUUAUGUCACUGUCAAGAACAAUGAAUGCUGGCAUAAUCUCAAAAGUCAAACACAGUCUACUGUCAGUUACCUGUAAGAAUUUUCUCUAGGGACUAAUUAAGCAAGACAGAACUGAGGGGCAAAAAAGGAAUAAAACAAUGCAAAACCAGCCUAAAUAAGGAAAA